GUUUCUGCAGUGAACACCAUCUCUGUUGCGUGCCUGCUUCCCCGUGUGUGUGAGCCCUGUCUCCCUACACAGCAGUGUGAGGCCGGGACUCUGACGAGGAAAAUGGAGUCACAGUGAGAUGAAGGAUCAAGCCGCAGGCGAGGCGCAGACCCAGGAAUCCUGUGUCCUGACUCAACUGAAGCCAACAGUUAAGCUCCAUCCCUCUGAGAUGAUGAUGAGUUGCUGGAGGGGGAGUUCCAGGGCCAGCUGUGUCACUACCCUGCUGGGGAGGGUCAAGCCUCACCUGUAAGUAUGAGUGGGUUCUACGUGCAGGUACUUUGAGGAGUGCAAAAUGCCUUACAAGUGCGUUUGCGGCGUCCUAGGCAGAGGUGUAAAGCUGCAAGGCCGCCUCACAAGUCCUGCUUGGAAGCGAUGGGUGAGUAAGAAAGCUGUGGUGCCUCAGGGCUCCCCAGGCACCUUCAGCCACGUGGUUUCCUUUGAUUUUCCCAGGCUGUGCAGUAUUUCAGACAGGCGCCGUGUCUCCUGGGUGUCAGAGGGGAAGCUGAGGCAUCGAGAAGUUGACUUGCUCAAGGCCAUCCAGCUAAUUAGAGACUGUGGCAGAACUCACACCCAAAUUUUAUGACUUCCAGAUCAAGCCCAGCACAGGCCUCUGCUCCACCUGUCAGGAGAGCCAGCACCCUUCAGGGACUUGCUCACAGAGGGUGCUCCAUAAAUGCUGAGGCAUGGGCUCAGAGGAAACCAGGGUGCCCCAGGGCUGUGCCUGGCCUGGCCGUUCUGAGAUGGCCUGCUGCAGCCCGGCUGGUGGGGGCGCUGGAGGCCCAGGUUACCCUGUGGUUUGUUUGCGGGUGGUGCGUCCGGUGUUCCUGGUGGAGGUGGGGAUGCUCCAGAAGGAUUUGGUGAGCAGCUCUCUUGGGCGGCAAGGAGAGGCAGCAGACACUGUGUGUUUUGCUGGGCUGUGAGUGGCUCUUCCGGCCAUUGUGCUCCCCGGUGCUCCGGGUCAUGAACACAGAGACCAGGAUGCCUUUGUAGUAGUCACAGCAACAGCCUGUACAUCCCCCGCAUUCCAAGGAGGCUCCAGAGUGUGGUCACUUACGGGAGGUCUCCCAGACACCUCCUUCCUCCACUCCUGGACUCCAUCCUCUUCAGCAGGAGACGGCCACUUCGUGGUGUGAUUUGAGGGGCGUGGGAGGGCCUCUGACCACAUGGCUCUCCUCCUGAUGGGCAGCCCUCCUUCUAGAUGUUAUCUCUUGGCCACUCAAAAUGCUAACAUCACAGGCGAAUAUUUUCUGGCUUAGGCACUGCUUAAGAGCUUUACAUAGUAAUCUUGUCAAUAGUUCCAUGAAACUAAUGCUAUUGUUAUCACCCUCUUCCCGUUAAUAUGAAGGACACUGAAGCUUAGAGGCAGGGCCGGCCUGGAGUCCACAUCUCUGAGGCUGGAGCCCAUGUUCUUAACCACCCCGCCACCCUCCCCUCUGUGUGAGCCUGGUACUUUGUGCUUUUGAGGUGAGUAGGAUCAAACAGAACCAUUCAGUCACGACUCAUUUUAUUAUAAUAAAUAUUUUACUUUAGAACAAUUUUAGAUUACAGAGUUAUUGCUCAGAGGUAGUACAGAGAAUUCAUGUAUAUCCCAUGCCUGGUUUCUCCUAUGACUGACAUCAUCCAUUAGCAUGGUACAAAUGUCACUAUCGCUGAACCAAUAUUGAUACAUUAUUAUUAAAUAAAGUCCAUGGUUUAUUCA